rnacentral:misc_RNA from 1 species
CAAACCGUCUUUGACGGCUUGGGUUUCCAAGCAUUGUG